AGUGAACGCUGGCGGUAGGCCUAACACAUGCAAGUCGAACGGCAGCACAGUACAAGUUUGCUCUUACCGGUGGCGAGUGGCGGAGGGGUGAGGAAUCUGGCGGACUCUAUUUUUUCGUGGGGGAACACGUAGGGAAACUUACGCAUAUACCGCAAACGACCUACGGGUGAAAGCAGGGGAUCUUCGGAUCUUGCGCGCUUGAAUGAGCCGAUGUCGGAUUAGCUAGUUGGCGGGGUAAAGGCCCACCUAGGCGACGAUCUGUAGCUGGUCUGAGAGGAUGACCAGCCACACUGGAACUGAGACACGGUCCAGACUCCUACGGGAGGCAGCAGUGGGGAAUAUUGGACAAUGGGCGCAAGCCUGAUGCAGCCAUGCCGCGUGGAUGAAGAAGGCCUUCGGGUUGUAAAGUCCUUUUAGGGGGGAGGAAGGGAGUAAAGUUAAUACCCUGGCUUAUUGACGUUACCCAAAGAAGAAGCACCGGCUAACUCCGUG
rnacentral:rRNA from 1 species